UAGUAAAAAUGCCCGUGCGUUGCACCGGGUGAAAAAUAAAAGAAAUUAUAUUGUUUUUUCCGCUCUAGAUUUUGCCAAAAAAAAUUAUGCCAGUCUAGAUUUUCACAUUUCACUUUUUCACUCUUAUUUUUUGACAAUUAUCACAAUUGUCAUUAUGUGGCAAAAGAAAAAUAAUUUAUUUUAUUUUUGCCACUCAUAACUUUUGAUAAUUAUCAUAGUUGUCAUUCCCAAUUAUCACAAUUGCCAUUCAGAAAAAUUUGCUUUUGCUACGGGAAUGGCAAUUGUGAUAAUUGUCAAAAGCUAAGAGUGGCAAAACUGAAAAUGUCAAAAUCUAAAGUGGCAUAAUGAAAAUUGGCAAAAUCUUGACUGGCAAAAUAAAAAUAAUUCCCGAAAAUAAAAUACAACCUGCUCCACGUGCCAUUAUGCAGCAUUUUUUUAAUCCAAUUUUUGAAAUCCUCGGAAAUAAGGUUACACUUUGGACCAUGAAAUUUGGACGUACCCUAACAACAUUCGUCGUGACCUAUUUUAGCUCCGCACUUUCAUUUUGUCCUCGUGAGGGCAAAAUUUCUUCUCCCUUAAGUAAUAAUUAUUUUUUUCUAAUAUUUCACUCACAUAUAUUUUAGUUACUAUUAUAUAAUGAUAAUUUAUUUGUGAUAUAUGGUCUGCAUGCCCAAUAAAUUACUAUUAUAUAAUGAUAAUUUAUUUAUGAUAUACGGUCGGCAUGCCCAAUAAACUAUGAUGGUACCAAGAAAUCAUUAUCGGAGCUCACCGGAACAAAUUAUUUUGUAAUUUUUUAUAGGGAAAUUCUUUUAUAAUGCUAGCUCGUAGAGCAACAUCUAGCUGCUUCUAGUAAUGCACCACAACAUCUAGUAGUAGCAGCUCGUUAAAAAAAGCAGUAGGGACAGCACCGAUUUCCAGAAUUCAUCGUCUCACCGCCCAGUAGAUGCCCCUUCUCUUGUCCACACAUUGCUAUUCCUCCAAGCCCACAUCACUUAGUGCUACUUCGCCUCCAUCUUCGUUCUUCUGCUACCUCAACACCCAGCUCUGCUCCUACUCUUCCUCAGCUCCCUCCUACCAACGCCCGGUCGUGCUCCACUCCCAGCUAUGACGGCCACAUGAGCUCCACCCGCACCAACACGAGACGACGAAGCUGACGUCCCGUGCUCCGUAUACCUUCGUCUGCUCAUGAUUCGACCUCCUAUUACUCCACAACGACACCAACCCAUACUCCCUUCCCCUCCACAGCCAAGCAACCGCUGCAUCAGGCACGGGUACGCAUGCCGACUGCCUGAUCUGGUAUGGAUGCGCGCGGUAGCUCCUCCCACCCCUGAUCUUUCCUUGGCAAGCUCACAUCUCCACCUGGUCCGCAACAGGAGACGCCGCGCUGGGUGUUGUAGCUACGGAGGUCAUCGAUUGGUCGAAGGACGCCCAGUGGCAGUGGGAAGUGACCCGAGGCGAGGUGGAGUCAGCAAGGCGGCAGAGUGGCGAGAUUCGGGAUCGAUGGAUCCGACUCCCGACGCUGCGAGCCCGUGUUGCCCAGAUCUUGACGACGGCGAGCCGAGGUUGCCUACGGGCGGCAGGCGGCGCUCCCGUGGCGAGGAUGGCGGGGCCUGGUCGGAUCCGGGCGGAUCUGGCCGGGAUGGAUCUAUUUCGGACGGAUUUGGCUUGGAGGCGGCCGGAUCUGGCGAGAUUGAGGGCCGAUGGCGCCAUGGUCCUCCUGGAGAUCCCUGCUCACCGAGAAAGAGAGACAGAGGUGAGAGGAGAUCAAGAUGAAGGAGGAGAUGGGCGAGGCGGCGGAGCGGCCGGAGCUCCGGCGGCGGGGCACGGUGGAGGUGUGGGGUCGCCGGCGAGGUGGCUUGCGGGUGCGAGGGGAGCUGGGCGAGGCGGCGGAGCGGCCGGAGCUCCGGCGGCGGGGCACGGUGGAGGUGUGGGGGCGCCGGCGAGGUGGCUUGCGGGUGCGAGGGGAGCUCGGGUAGGAGGAAGCUGCGGGAGGCGGAGCGGUCCAGUUCGGGCUGGAUUUCUAGGGUUAUUUAUGUAAAACUGAAAGUUUUCUUAGAAUCCACUAAAGAAAGGACUACGGGUUCAAUUUUGAAAAAGUACAAGGACUUUUCUGCAAAAUCACCGACGACGACGUACGACCAGAAA